AUUGAACGCUGGCGGCAGGCCUAACACAUGCAAGUCGAACGGUAACAGGAAACAGCUUGCUGUUUCGCUGACGAGUGGCGGACGGGUGAGUAAUGUCUGGGAAACUGCCUGAUGGAGGGGGAUAACUACUGGAAACGGUAGCUAAUACCGCAUAACGUCGCAAGACCAAAGAGGGGGACCUUCGGGCCUCUUGCCAUCGGAUGUGCCCAGAUGGGAUUAGCUAGUAGGUGGGGUAACGGCUCACCUAGGCGACGAUCCCUAGCUGGUCUGAGAGGAUGACCAGCCACACUGGAACUGAGACACGGUCCAGACUCCUACGGGAGGCAGCAGUGGGGAAUAUUGCACAAUGGGCACAAGCCUGAUGCAGCCAUGCCGCGUGUAUGAAGAAGGCCUUCGGGUUGUAAAGUACUUUCAGCGGGGAUGAAGGGAGUAAAGUUAAUACCUUUGCUCAUUGACGUUACCCGCAGAAGAAGCACCGGCUAACUCCGUG
rnacentral:rRNA from 1 species